rnacentral:rRNA from 1 species
CAAUAGCGUAUAUUAAAGUUGUUGCGGUAAAAAAGCUCGUAGUUGGAUUUCUGUUGAGAGCGACCGGUCCAUACCAUGUAUGCGCAUCUGGCUUGCUCUCGGCAUCCUCUCGAUAGACGUUGCUGCGCUUGAUUGCGUGGCGCGGAUCUCGGGACUUUUACUUUGAGGAAAUUAGAGUGUUCACGGCAGGCUUUCGCCAGAAUACAUUAGCAUGGAAUAAUACUAUAGGAUCUUGGUUCUAUUUUGUUGGUUUCUAGAAUUGAGAUAAUGAUUAAUAGGGACAAUUGGGGGCAUUCGUAUCAACACGUCAGAGGUGGAAUUCUUGGAUUGUGUUGCGACGAACUACUGCGAAAGCAUUUGCCAAGGAUGUUUNCAUUGA